rnacentral:rRNA from 1 species
UACGAAGGGGGCUAGCGUUGUUCGGAAUUACUGGGCGUAAAGGGCUCGUAGGUGGCCAACUAAGUCAGACGUGAAAUCCCUCGGCUUAACCGGGGAACUGCGUCUGAUACUGGAUGGCUGGAGUGCGGUAGAGGGGUGUGGAAUUCCCGGUGUAGCAGUGAAAUGCGUAGAUAUCGGGAGGAACAUCUGUGGCGAAGGCGACACCCUGGACCAGCACUGACACUGAGGCACGAAAGCGUGGGGAGCAAACAGG